rnacentral:rRNA from 1 species
GAAUAAUUCACAAUGGGGGCAACCCUGAUGGUGCAACGCCGCGUGGAGGAUGACGGUCUUCGGAUUGUAAACUCCUGUCAUCCGGGAGUAAGACCUGGCCGUUAAUAGCGGACAGGGUUGAUAGUACCGGAAGAGGAAGGGACGGCUAACUUCGUGCCAGCAGCCGCGGUAAUACGAAGGUCCCAAGCGUUGUUCGGAAUCACUGGGCGUAAAGGGAGCGUAGGCGGCGUGGUAAGUCAGAUGUGAAAUCCCGGGGCUCAACCCCGGAACUGCAUCCGAUACUGCCAUGCUAGAGGAUUGGAGAGGUAGCUGGAAUUCUUGGUGUAGCAGUGAAAUGCGUAGAGAUCAAGAGGAACACUCGUGGCGAAAGCGAGCUACUGGACAAUUCCUGACGCUGAGGCUCGAAGGCCAGGGUAGCGAAAGGG